rnacentral:rRNA from 1 species
AGCGAACGCUGGCGGCAGGCUUAACACAUGCAAGUCGAGCGGGCGUAGCAAUACGUCAGCGGCAGACGGGUGAGUAACGCGUGGGAACGUACCUUUUGGUUCGGAACAACUCAGGGAAACUUGAGCUAAUACCGGAUGUGCCCUUCGGGGAAAGAUUUAUCGCCAUUAGAGCGGCCCGCGUCUGAUUAGCUAGUUGGUGAGGUAAAGGCUCACCAAGGCUUCGAUCAGUAGCUGGUCUGAGAGGAUGAUCAGCCACACUGGGACUGAGACACGGCCCAGACUCCUACGGGAGGCAGCAGUGGGGAAUCUUGCGCAAGUGGGACGAAAGCCUGACGCAGCCAUG